GGUGGCACAGGCCUGUAAUCCCAGCACUUGAGAAGGAGAGGCAGGCAGAUCUGUUAGUUCGAGGCCAGCCUGGUCUACCAAGUGAGUUCAGAGAAAAACCCUAUCUCAAAAAAAAAAAAAAAAAAAAAACCAAACCAAAACGAAACAAAACAAGAACAGUCAUCAGGAAGGAAUUAGAUGAGCAAGAUAUUUACUUGGGGGACAUGCCUGUAAAAGCGGAGGGGCACAGGAAUGGUGGAAGAGAACAAACACCUGGAGAGGCAGAAGGAAAGACUGAGGAGAAGGCAUCUCAGACCACACACGGUACUAAGAAGGUUUUGUGGCAAUCGAGAAGCAGCUUGAAGAGUCAAGAAAACUUUUGGAGCUGUGAAAUGCAAGCUGAUGCCUUUGCUGGAUAUUCUGUUUCUCUUUUAGGUGAUUUAGUUAUUUAUUAAAUUAUAUCCUUCACUCAAAUUGUAAAGCAUUUUUCAUGGAUUUUAUAUGACCAAUUAGUAGAAGUAUGUGAGUGUGAUAGUUGCGGAGUACUUUUUUUGGCUGCCAAUUAGCUCCCAACUCAAGACACAGAAACUUACUAUUUGUUAGGAGUGCUUGGCCUUAGUAGGUUUGUCCCACUAGAUCUUACAACUUAAUUUAACCCGUUUCUCCUUCUCUACAUUUUGCUUUGGGGCUUUUUACCUUUCAUUCUGUAUGUCCUCCUUUAUAUAUGUCCUAUUCUGUGGCUGCCUGGCUGGCCCUGGGCAUUUUCUUCUCAUAUUCUCCUUGUUCUAGAUUCCUCCUACCUAUUCUCUCUGCCUGCUAGCCCUGCCUAGCCCUCUACUGCCUAGCUGUUGGCUGUUCAGCUUUUUAUUAGACCAUUCAGGUGCCUUGGUCAGGCAGAGCAACACAUCUUUACAUUGUUAAACAAAUACAAUAUAAACAAAUGUAACACAUUUUGCCUAAAGUAAUAUCCUAGAACAGAUAGUAUAAUUGUGAUUCUUUUAAAACCAAUUUUAUUUUUUUAAAGAUUUAUUAUGUACAUAGUGUUCUGUCUGCAUGUGUGUCUGCAGGCCAGGAGAGGUCACCAGAUUUCAUUACAGAUGGUUGUGAGCCACCAUGUGUUUGCUGGGAAUUGAACUCAGGACCUUUGGAAAUGCAGGCAGUACUCUUAACCACUGAGCCAUCUCUCUAGCCCCUAAUUGUGAUUCUUAAUAUUGGUACUGGUAAGACCUUAAUGUUGAACAAGAAUUAUCAUAGAUUGUAAGUUAGGGGCAAACUGCAACUAUUUAAGGAAUUGAGUUAGAACCUAGGGUGGUGGUACACACCUUUGAUCCCAGUACACAGUAGGCAAAGGUAGGUAGAUCUCUGUGAGUUUGAGGCCAGCCUGGUCUACAGAACUAGUUCCAGGACAGAUAGGGAUGGCUAUACAGAGAAAUCCUGUCUUGAAAAACCAAUAAAUAAAUAAUUGAGUUAAAAAGCCA
rnacentral:lncRNA from 1 species